GAAAUCUGUUAGAAAACCUGGGCUUCCUGAUCAACUGGGAGAAGUCGGUCAUCGAACCGUCGCAAGCAAUAGAAUUCCUGGGAUUCACCAUAGACGCGGUGACCGGAACACUCCUACUCCCAACGACCAAGGUCAAGGCCAUCAAAAAGGAGCUCAAGCGGACGCUAACGCGUCCUGUCCUUACUUUGAGAAAGCAGGCCAGGAUUGUAGGCCUCCUCUCGGCGUCAAUUCAGGCCAUCUUUCCUGGAUCCCUACACUACUGAGCAC